rnacentral:rRNA from 1 species
UACGGGGGGGGCAAGCGUUGUUCGGAAUUACUGGGCGUAAAGGGCCAGUAGGCGGCCAACUAAGUCGGAUGUGAAAUCCCCCGGCUCAACCGGGGAACUGCGUCCGAUACUGGUGGGCUCGAAUCCGGGAGAGGGAUGUGGAAUUCCAGGUGUAGCGGUGAAAUGCGUAGAUAUCUGGAGGAACACCGGUGGCGAAGGCGGCAUCCUGGACCGGUAUUGACGCUGAGGCGCGAAAGCCAGGGGAGCAAACGGGG